CCUACGGUAGGCAGCAGUGAGGAAUAUUGGUCAAUGGGCGCGAGCCUGAACCAGCCAAGUCGCGUGAGGGAUGACGGUCCUACGGAUUGUAAACCUCUUUUGCCGGGGAGCAAGCGUGCGUUCGUGAACGCGCGUCGCGAGUACCCGGAGAAAAAGCAUCGGCUAACUCCGUGCCAGCAGCCGCGGUAAUACGGAGGAUGCGAGCGUUAUCCGGAUUUAUUGGGUGUAAAGGGGGCGCAGACGGCAAUGCAAGCCAGGAGUGAAAGCCCGGGGCCCAACCCCGGGACUGCUCUUGGAACUGCAUGGCUGGAGUACAGGAGGGGCAGGCGGAAUGCCUAGUGUAGCGGUGAAAUGCGUAGAUAUUAGGAGGAACACCGGUGGCGAAGGCGGCCUGCUGGACUGUGACUGACGUUGAGGCCCGAAGGCGUGGGGAGCAAACAGGAUUAGAUACCCUAGUAGUC
rnacentral:rRNA from 1 species